CAAUCUAAUACCUUGGAGGAUUAAAAGGCAAAAGAAGUUGAAAGAUAGAAAUAGGUUCUAUUCUUCUCCCUUUCAUACACCCUUGUUCACCUUUGGCGAUCUUCUCUUCUCUCUGAUUUGCAUCUGUGCUAGAAGGAGGAAUUCUCCAAGAAAGAUCGACAUUUCUAUGCAGAGAAAUAACUCCAGCUAAAGCCAAGCAACAAACAUCUACGAGGUGGUUUUCUCUUGAUAAAUCAAGGGACCAGUGAUGACUUCUCAGGAAAAAAGUGAAAGUAGUCAACAAUCAGCUGAAGCAGAAAAGCAGUUGGGAAGCUUCCCAUAUACUAAUUGGACAGACAAGAUACAAGAACAGUACCAGAAUAUCAAAGAGAAUGCAGAAACUUACCCCUAUGUUUGGGGUUCUUAUAUAGUUGUGUAUGGAGGACUUGUGCUUUGGUUUACUUAUAGAUGGUGAAAGCUCCGUAAAACUGAGAAUCGAGUUCGAUUCCUUCAAGAAAGACUCUGGAAACUUGUUGAAGCUGAAGAGUCAGUAAGUUCCUCAUCUGCUGCCACCAGUAAGGCGCCUCCAUCUUCUGAUAUAUCUACCAAGUAGAUAGUUGCUUCUACCAAUGCAAGUGACUACCUUUUUCUUUUGUGCUCAUAUACUGAAUUGAAGUUGUCAACUAUAAAGAUAUCACUCCUUGUGAGAUCGAUCGUAAAGGCAAAGUUGGGUAAGAGUUAGAAGGCAUAUAGGAAAACAGUAUCACUUACUAAAAGUUGAUGUACAUUACUUGGCCUUUUAAAUGAAAUAUUGGUGUCUAGUGUCUACUCCUGUCUUCAACUUUACAUCAUUGAUUUAAAAAAGAAUGUGUUACUUGCUUUUCAGAGAUAAUGUAGAAAGUACUUUCUACAACAUGAGUAAGAUUAUAUAUCUUGA